UCCCUUUGGCCACACUUGUCAGGAGACUUAUGAGACUGCCCUUCUCAACUUUGUCUCUACCUCUCCCUCUUUUACGUGGGCAUUUCCAAGGCCUCCAAAUGCUCCUCAUAAAUCCCUUCCUUUUGUCAUACCGAAUGAUUCUCGGAUUGGGCGAUAUACUACCAGCGAGCGUAAUUAUUGGCAGGUCAAUCUUAAAAGAUGGGGGG
rnacentral:lncRNA from 1 species